rnacentral:snoRNA from 1 species
CACAUGCUCCCUUAGAUCCAUCUUUGUGGAUGUCUUACUGGUGCUGAGUUCUGCCCGUAUUUACUAGCAGUUCCAGUUCAGUGAUUUCCAGCAACUUUCUGGUUGUACAGUCAAAGAUGCUUGAGUCAUUGGCAUGUCAGAUCAAUAUACCUGUAUGGCAGCUUUAAUGUUCUGAUGGCAGUGGCUGCAACCUUGUAUGCCAAGUUUCACCAUCAGGGCUUUGUUGUCAUAUGGACAUU